AACGAACGCUGGCGGCGUGCCUAACACAUGCAAGUCGUGCGAGAAAGUUCCUUCGGGAGCGAGUAAAGCGGCGCACGGGUGAGUAACACGUAGGUAACCUGCCCCCCAGUCUGGAACAACUAGAGGAAACUCUAGCUAAUGCCGGAUGAGACCACGAUCCCCGUUCGGGGGUUGCGGCCAAAGAUGGCCUCUACUUGUAAGCUAUCGCUGAGGGAUGGGCCUGCGGGCCAUUAGCUUGUUGGUGAGGUAACGGCUCACCAAGGCUGUGAUGGCUAGCUGGUCUGAGAGGAUGACCAGCCACACUGGGACUGAGACACGGCCCAGACUCCUACGGGAGGCAGCAGUGGGGAAUAUUGCGCAAUGGGCGAAAGCCUGACGCAGCGACGCCGCGUGGGUGAUGAAGGCCUUCGGGUCGUAAAGCCCUGUCGCAGGGGAAGAAUAAGCAUCGGUAUAAUACGCCGGUGCCCUGACGGUACCCUGCAAGAAAGCACCGGCUAACUCCGUG
rnacentral:rRNA from 1 species